rnacentral:rRNA from 1 species
UACGUAGGUGGCAAGCGUUGUCCGGAUUUACUGGGCGUAAAGAGCGCGCAGGCGGUUAUUCAAGUUGAAUGUGAAAGCCCCCGGCUUAACUGGGGAGGGUCAUUCGAUACUGUUUAACUUGAAGGCAGGAGAGGGUAGUGGAAUUCCCGGUGUAGUGGUGAAAUGCGUAGAUAUCGGGAGGAACACCAGUGGCGAAGGCGACUACCUGGCCUGUUCUUGACGCUGAGGCGCGAAAGCUGGGGGAGCAAACGGG